rnacentral:rRNA from 1 species
UACGUAGGGUGCAAGCGUUGUUCGGAAUCAUUGGGCGUAAAGCGCGUGUAGGCGGUUUGUUAAGUCGAGUGUGAAAUCCCUGGGCUCAACCGAGGAAGUGCAUUCGAAACUAACUGGCUAGAAGAUGGUAGAGGAAGGUGGAAUUCCAAGUGUAGAGGUGAAAUUCGUAGAUAUUCGGAAGAACACCAGUGGCGAAGGCGACUCGCUGGACAAGUAUUGACGCUGAGGAGCGAAAGCGUGGGGAGCGAACAGG